GGCGGCGUACCCAAAUGGCUAAGGGGACGGUCUGCAAAACCGUUAUCUACCGGUUCAAUUCCGGUCGCCGCCU
rnacentral:tRNA from 1 species